GAUGAACGCUGGCGGCGUGCCUAAUACAUGCAAGUCGAGCGAACAGACGAGGAGCUUGCUCCUCUGACGUUAGCGGCGGACGGGAGAGUCACACGUGGAUAACCUACCUAUAAGACUGGGAUAACUACGGGAAACAGGAGCUAAUACCGGAUAAUAUAUUGAACCGCAUGGUUCAAUAGUGAGAGUCGGUUUUGCUGUCACUUAUAGAUGGAUCCGCGCCGCAUUAGUUAGUUGGUAAGGUAACGGCUUACCAAGGCGAGGAUGCGUAGCCGACCUGAGAGGGUGAUCGGCCACCCUGGAACUGAGACACGGUCCAGACUCCUACGGGAGGCAGCAGUCGGGAAUCUUCCGCAAUGGGCGAAAGCCUGACGGAGCAACGCCGCGUGAGUGAUGAAGGUCUUCGGAUCGUAAAACUCUGUUAUUAGUGAAGAACAAAUGUGUAAGUAACUAUGCACGUCUUGACGGUACCUAGUCAGAAAGCCACGGCUAACUACGUG
rnacentral:rRNA from 1 species